rnacentral:rRNA from 1 species
CCUACGGGUGGCAGCAGUGAGGAAUAUUGGUCAAUGGACGAGAGUCUGAACCAACCAAGUAGCGUGAAGGAUGACUGCCCUAUGGGUUGUAAACUUCUUUUAUAAAGGAAUAAAACGAGGCACGUGUGCGUUUUUGUAUGUACUUUAUGAAUAAGGAUCGGCUAACUCCGUGCCAGCAGCCGCGGUAAUACGGAGGAUCCGAGCGUUAUCCGGAUUUAUUGGGUUUAAAGGGAGCGUAGAUGGGUUGUUAAGUCAGUUGUGAAAGUUUGCGGCUCAACCGUAAAAUUGCAAUUGAUACUGGCAGUCUUGAGUACAGUAGAGGUAGGCGGAAUUCGUGGUGUAGCGGUGAAAUGCUUAGAUAUCACGAAGAACCCCGAUUGCGAAGGCAGCUUACUAAACUGUGACUGACAUUGAUGCUCGAAAGUGUGGGUAUCAAACAGGAUUAGAUACCCUAGUAGUC